rnacentral:lncRNA from 1 species
AAGUUGAAAACAAUUGAUCAAAAGCUGAAAAAGAUCAAAUUGGGCCAAUUCUAUUAGCCCAAAGCUACAAAAAGAAUUUUGGCAGCCCAAUUACCCAUCCCCAAGCCUGGCCCAAUAACCCAACCUCUCUCAUUAAACCUCCCCCUUCCAAAAAAAAAGACCUAGACCUAAUUUCAUUCCCUUACCCUAGAGACCUAAUGAGAUAAAAAAAAGGAGGACCCUAGAGCUUUAGUAAAACGGCGCAUCAACUGCUGCCUUUCUUCUUCUGCCAAACACACUCCAUUACAACUAAAACUUCACUCCGAAAGCCAUGAAAAUCAACCACGAAAUCCACCAAAAAUUAGCUCCAAUUCACCCCAAAUCAUCUCCGAACAACCUAGAAAAUGCAGCUGAAGCAGCUGCAAAAAUAGUCCAUAAACCAGCCAUGUUUCCAUAUCAAAACCCCUGCAAAAAUCAGUUCAAAACAUAAGCUAAAAAUCCACAAAAUCUGCUUAAAAUCAUCUCCAAAAUAACUCCAAAACGAGCUGAAAAACACUCCAUGAAAACAGCUUAAAAAAUGACCAUUGAAACCCAGCUUCCCACCUCAAAAAGACCACCUGAAAAAUAAUUAAAGUUUCGAGUCAAAGUCGAGGGUCUUGGUACAAAUAAAGUCGAGGUCAACGUCAAGCUUUUCGAGUCAUGGUUUUGUUUGGUCUUGUUCGCAUUUUCGGUGUUUGUCGCCGGGUUCUAUUUUCUAUUUGAACAACUUUUAUUGUUGUACCAAGCUUUGGUUUGAAGGCCCUUUAUAAAUACACAGAAAAGUUUUCACAUGGGUUCUUUCUUUUCCAAUCUCAUUUUAUGGUUGAUUUGCUUUGAAUUGUUAUUUAUGUUGUUUGAGCAUUUGGAUGCCUUCACAUUGGUUGAUUCUAUGUUUAUUAGUUACUCUCUUUUGUUAAAUAAUUUUAUUUGAGGCAAAUCUUUACAUUGUUCAUUGAAUUGCAUUGGGCUAUUUAGUAAGCUUGAUCUUAAAAGUUUAUUGGUCUGACAAAAUGAGCCAUGAAGGAGCAAAUACAGAUUCUGGUCGUUGAAUGGAUUUUAAAUAUAAAAUUUGGUCUUAGAUUUAGUAUUGGAAGAUUUGAAUCCUUAAUAAAUAUCUGACUUUAGUUGUUGGGCUGCAGAGUUUUGGUAAAUACUAACCUAUUUAUUCCACUAACUAAUUUACUCUAUUUUAACAACCAUUCCAUAAAUCAUGUCCUUACAAUAAUCUUAAAACUAGUAUAGAUUAUAACUCAUGAACACCGUAGUUUACUUUAGGCGCGAUUAACAAUAAUUAUCGUGGCCAUAUGUACGGUUCCCGUGGCAUGGUCACGAUACAUAAUCCCUAACUCAGGUGUGUAUUUCAUGUGACACGACCAUAACUUUGAACAAUUAUAAAAUAAAUAUUUUGUAGAUCGUGGGUACAAUUCCCGUGACGCGAUUCGCAAUGCGUACAAAAAUAAAGAAGUGUACGCAUCGCGACUUGUUCAAACAAACUCCAUAAAUAAUUAAAAGCGGUUAAAAGUUAAAAAAUACACAAUAAGUCUUAAACAUGUAAUAAAUAAUAUAAGUAGGCCAAUUAUAAGUACUUGCGUGAUUGUGCUAAAAUCACGGAACUCGGGAUGCCUCACACCUUCUCUCGGGUUAAUAGAACUCCUUACCCGGUCUUCUAUGUUCGCAAACCAUAAAUAAGAGUCAAUUUCCUCGAUUUGGGAUUUAAAAUAAACUUGUGACUCGGGACACCAUAAAUUAUCCCAAGUGACGAUUCUGAAAAUAAAUAAAAUAAUCUCAUUGCGAUUAAUGUCACUUAAACUCCCUACCCCCCUCAGGAAAAAGGAGGUGUGACAGCUUUGGCGACUCUGCUGGGGACAUGAACCCAGAAUCUUUGGUUCUGGAUUUAUAAUUUGAGCUUAGAAUAACUGUUAUAGUUGGCUGUUAAAUAUUAUAUGAUUUUUACGUGUUCAAGCCUAAUGUGCUAAAUGUCGCUUUUUACCGCUUUGAUAUUGUUUGAACUGCAUAUAAAUUGUUAUAAAACCCUUCUUCUCUCUAAGUCUUAUAAAUCUUCUAGGAAGUGUACGCUGACGUGACUUCUUUUCUGUUAGUGUCAUACCCUAAUUUAGAACGAGGUUCAGACAAGUUGCAAAGCCGGAUGAUCUUUUGGUUACCGAUACGCUUCUUCCCUCGGCUCGAGCUGUCCACUCAGGUAAGCCACUUCUAGAACAAUACUGUGAUCACCUAACUUUUGACCAUGUUUGAAUUUAUUCCCACUUUUCACACUCACUUCCCACUUCCCCCACUUUCUCCACUUACUACCCACUUCCCCCACUCUCUCCACUCAUGUUCCCCACCUAUAUUCCUCACACUUCCAUCACCUAAUCUCUACUUAUAACACACGACACACACACACAGACACACAAAAGAAGGAAAAAGAAAAAAAAAGUAUUUUUGCUUCUACAAUUUAAAGCUCCACAGAAAAGCUGAAAAAAUCAGUCUUUAAGCUCCAUAGAUCUCCAACCCAUAAGCCUGUUCUUUUGUCCUUUUUUCUCCAUAAAAAAUACAGCUUCUUUUGCUUUGAAUAACAGCUAAAACGUGCUCAAUUUAAGCCUAAAACACCCCGGAAGCUUCUCCACUUUUCAGUCAAUUUUGUGUUUCCGACAAGGUUGUGCAGUUGGAGGUUGGAGGUUGUGGUCGCUGCUCUUAGCUCGAUUAUUGAAUAACAAAAAUUCUAAAGUUUGAAUACAAUCAAUACAAGGUUUAUUUUACUUCUCUGACAAAUUUUUAUAAUGCUACAUACUCCUGUUCCUUUAUUUGGUUGUAGUCAUGUGAAUAUUCUAUCUUUAAAUGUGAUUAUGGUUUGUUUUAUUGACUUAUUAUUAGCUUAUAUGCUUAUAAGAUUUUGUUUAGUUGUUUGUUAAGUUGACAAUUUUUAUAACUUCUGUUUGUUGAAUAUUUCAAAUAUAGGCAUCAUUGGUUAGCGUAAAACUAAUAAAUUUUGUUCAGAUGGUUGAAUAUUGUUUCUGUCACGACCCUAACCCCGAACCCGGUCGUGAUGGCGCCUCUCAUGAAGACGAGGCCAGCCAAACCAAAACAGAACACCUCUUUUAAACAUUUAAAUACCAUAAAUAGUUCUAAAACAUGAUAUAAUAACUAUAAUUUGCGGAAAUAACGAUAACAACGGUUGAAACCAUCCCGACACAGUGGGGUGUCACAAGUCAUGAGCAACUAAUAAAUUCGGAUACCAGUCUACUAGAUACAAAAUCCGAUAUAGAAGUUCAAGAACAUGAUAAUAGUAAGAUAAGGGAGGAACGGGGGCUGCGGACGCCAACAACUACCUCGUAGUCUCCGAAAACAUUGCGUGGACUGGAAGGAUCAACACUCAGGAGCGGACUCUGCGAUGCCUGAAUCUGCACACACGGUGCAGGGAGUAAUGUGAGUACUCCGACCCAGUGAGUAAUGAAUAUAAAUAAUGGCUUAAAGCAAGAAAACACGUAAAAGCACAAAGCAGUUCUAUAUCUAGCAGUAAAAUCACUUAAAGCAGUAAAUCCAUGAAGAAGCCAAAUGAAAUUCCUUUAAACUAAGUAAAACAGGUAAUUUAGCAAGUAAAUAACAAGUAGAAAUCCGCCCCUCGAGCACAGUAACAAUCACUCAGAAUAGUAUCAGCCCCUCGGGCUCACUCUAAGUACAAUAUCAGCCCCUCGGGCUCACUCUCAGUAUAGUAUCAGGCCCUCGGGCUCACUCUUAAAUCAUGAUGGGUACUCGCGCUCACUGUAGGGGUGCAGACUCCAGAGGGGCCCCUUACGACCCAAGCGCUAUAUCAAGCCACCUCGUGGCGUAUACAAGUAUCUCAAGCCCUCGGCCUCAUAUCACUCAGCAUAUCCUCACAUAUGGCCCUCGGCCUCACUCAGUCCGAAAAUCAUCACAAGCCCCUCGGGCAUUAGUAAAAUAGUAGUUCUCAGCCUAAAACAUUAUUUAGAAAUAUCAUUUAAGUUUCAAAUAUGAAUAAAAGUGGCUAAGUUUGUAAAAUAGUAAAUAUCAGCUGGACUGAGUUCAAGUAAUAAGUCAAACAGUAAGGAAUUAGUGAUAAAAAUCCCCGAAGGGUUCAAAUAGUUGGCACGAAGCCCAAAUAUGGCAAUCAGCCCAAACCAUGAUGAUAACAAACAAGUUUCAGUAAUAAACGACUCUACUCUCAUCAUCAAGCGCGUGUCUCACCUCAAUAUAGUACUACGAUGUGCAAUCCGGGGUUUCAAACCCUCAGGACAUCAUUUACAAUCAUUACUCAUCUCGAAUCGGCUACAACUUUAGUUCGCGAUGCCUUUGCCCCUCGAAUCGGCCUCCACGCGCAUCAAAUCUAUCCAAAAUCAGAACGAAUAUAUCACAAUAUGCUAAGGGAACAAAGCCAGAGCGAAAACAAUCAAAAAAUAUCAAAAAUCCUGAAAUUAGCAAAACCCGAGCCUCGGGCCCACUUCUCGAAACUCAGAACUUUUCACAUCAUUAGAUUCCCCGUCUCCCCAUGAGUUCAUACAUAUCAAAAACACAACAAUCGGAGUUCAAUUGACCCCUCAAAUCCUUAAUUUAAGCCCUCUUAAACUCAAGCCCUAAACCUCCAUUUUUAGUCCUUUAAUCUCUUAAGUUUCAGUCCCAAUCCAUGAAAUAUUACCAUAGAAGUGUGUUUUAGGUCCAAAAUCCUUACCUUAUCGAAGUUCUCUUGAAAUCUCUCUUCAAAAUCGCCCAAAAACCCUAAGUCCGAAGUUAAAAUGAAUAAACCCUUCAAAAAUUGCGAAGAAGAAACAUAUAAAUCUUCUGCCCAGACAUAAUCGCAUCUGCGGUCCAAUAGCCGCUUCUGCAGUACCGCUUAUGCGGUCAUUUCUCCGCAUCUGCGGAAUUUCACUUACGAAUCCACAACGCAUCUGCGGUCCACUCGCAUCAUCUGCGACUUCGCAGGUGCGGUCCCUUUUCCACAUCUGCGAUACCAGGCCGCCCUCAAACUUCCGCUUCUGCGACCCAAACAAUGCAUCUGUGAGACCACACCUGCGGUCCCCAAACCGCAGUUACAAAAACACCAAAAGCAGCAGAAACUCUGCAAUCACUCAAGUUCCAAAACUUCCCGUUAGCCAUCCGAAAUCACUCCGAGGCUCCCGGGACCUCAACCAAAAUUACCGACAUGACCCAAUACCUUAUUCGAACUUGUUCCAAUCAUCAAAACACCUCAAACAACAUCAAAUUACCCAAAAUUCAUCGAAUUCAAGCCUAAUUUUUAUAAAUCUUCCAAAAUACGCUUUCGAUCAAAAAUCCAACCAAACCACGUUCGAAUGGCCUGAAAUUUUUCACACACAUCACAAAUGACAUAACGAAGGCACAACAACUCUCGGAAUUCCAUUCCGACACUCGGAUCAAAAUCUCGCCUAUCAACCGAAAAUCGCCAAAAUACUAACUUCGCCAAUUCAAGCCUAAUUCUACACCGGACCUCCAAUACCAAUUCCGAUCAUACUCCUAAGUCAUAAAACACCUCCCGAAGCUAACUGAACCGUUGGAACUCACAUCCGAGCUCUCUUACUCAUAAGUCAACAUCCGGUUGACUUUUCCAACUUAAACCUUCUUAAAAGAGACUAAGUGUCUCAUUUCUUACCAAAUCCACUCCGNNNNNNNNNNNNNNNNNNNNNNNNNGUCUCCCAAGUAGCCUCCUCCAUGUGCCGACCUUUGCAUUGCACUUUCACUGAAACUAUAUCCUUUGACCUCAACUUCCAAACCCGACGACACAAAAUAACUGCUGGCUCUACAUCAUAGGUCAAAUCAUUAUCCAACUAAACCGUGGUGAAGUCUAAAACAUGUGACGAGUCCCCAAUGUACUUUUGGAGUAUAGAAACAUGAAAUACCGGAUGCAUGCUAGACAAGCUGGGUGGUAAGGCAAGCUCAUAAGCCACUUCAACAAUCCUCCGAAGCACCUCAAAAGGCCCAAUGAACCGCGGACUCAACUUUCUUUUCUUCCCAAAUCUCAUGACACCCUUCAUGGGAGAAACCAUCAGCAAGACCUUCUCACCAACCAUUAAGACACAUCUCGAACCUUCCGGUCCGCAUAACUCUUUUGUCGCGACUGCGCUGUACGAAGCCUCUCCUGAAUUACCUUCACUUUUUUCUAAGGCAUCUGAACCAAAUCUAUCCCCAAUAGCCUAGCCUCGCGGGGCUCAACCAACCAAUUGGAGAUCUACACCGCCUCCCAUACAAAGCCUCAAUGGAGCUAUCUGAAUACUCGAUUGGUAGCUGUUACUGUAAGCAAACUCUGAAAGCGGUAGAAACUUAUCCCAUGAACCUCCGAAAUCAAUAACACAAGCACACAACAUGUCCUCCAAUAUCUGAAUAGUACGCUCGGACUCCCCGUUCGUCUGAGGAUGUAAAGCUGUGCUCAACUCCACCUGAGUACCCAACUCUGGCUGAACUGACUUCCAAAACUGGGAAGUAAACUGAGUACCCCGAUCUGAAAUGAUGGAAACUGAAACACCAUGCAGCCGAACAAUCUCCCGAAUGUAUAACUUUGCUAACCGCUCUGAAUAAUAGGUAGUACACACAGGAAUGAAGUGCACGGACUUGGUCAGCCGAUCCACAAUCACCCAAAUAGCAUCAAACUUCUUUAAAGUUCGUAGAAGUCCAAAAACAAAGUCCAUAGUGAUCCUUUCCCACUUCCACUCAGGAAUUACCAUCUGCUUAAGCAAGCCACCCGGUCUUUGAUGCUCAUAUUUUACCUGCUGACAAUUGAGACACCGAGCUACAAAUCCCACAAUAUCUUUCUUCAUUCUCCUUUACCAAUAGUGCUGCCUCAAAUCUUGAUACAUCUUCGCAGCCCCCGGAUAAAUGAAAUACCGUGAGCUAUGGGCUUCCUCCAGAAUCAACUCCUAAAGCCCAUCCACAUUGGGCACACAAAUCCAUAACUGCAUCCUCAACACCCCAUCAUCACCGAUGGCCACAUCUUUAGCAUCAUCAUGCUGCACUCUGAUGCGAUCAUAUAAGGAAGACCGAGAAACCACACACGUCAACACCUGACUGGGCAUCGAGAUAUCCAACCUCACGAACCGAUUGGCCAAGGCCUUAACAUCAACUGCAAGAGGUCUCUCCCCAACUGGAAUAUAUGCCAAACUCCCCAUACUCACUGCCUUUCGGCUCAAAGCAUCGACCACCACAUUGGGCUUUUUCGGAUGGUACAAUACAGUGAUAUCAUAAUCUUUAAGCAACUCCAACCAUCUCCGCUACCUCAAAUUAAGAUCCUUUUGCUUGAGUCAACUUGGUCAAGGACGAUGCGAUAGAUGAGAAUCCCUGAACAAACCGGCAAUAAUAGCCUGCUAGCCCAAGAAAACUACGAAUCUCUGUGGCUAAGGACGGUCUGGGCCAACUCUGACCCACCUCUAUCUUCUUCAAAUCAACCUGAAUACCCUCGCUGGAUACCACGUGCCCCAAGAAAGCCACUGAACUGAGCCAAAACUCACACUUGGAGAAUUUUGCAUAAAGCUUCUCCUCCCUUAAUCUCUGCAACACAACUCUCAAAUGUUCCGCGUGCUCCUCCUAACUACGCGAAUAUACCAGAAUAUCAUCAAUGAAUACAAUAACAAACGAAUCCAGAUAAGGCCGAAAUACACUAUUUAUCAAAUGCAUGAAUGCUACUGGGGCAUUUGUUAGCCCGAAAGACAUCACAAGGAACUCGUAAUGACCAUAUCUGGUCUCGAAAGCAGUCUUAAGAAUAUCUAAAUCCCUGAUCUUCAACUAGUGAUAACCCGAACAGAGAUCAAUCUUGGAGAACAAUCCCGCUCCUAGAAGCUGGUCAAAUAAAUCAUCAAUGCGAGGCAAAGAAUACUUGUUCUUAAUUGUUACUUUGUUCAAUUUCCUAUAAUCAAUGCACAUUCUCAUGGUGCUAUCCUUCUUCUUCACAAACAAAACGGGCGCACCCCAAGGAGACAUACUAGGCCGAAUGAACCCCUUAUCUAGGAGUUCCUAAAGUUGUUCCUUCAACUCUGCUGGUGCCAUACGAUAUGAUGGAAUAGAAAUGGGCUGAGUGCCCGACACCAGGUCAAUACGAAAAUCAAUAUCCCUGUAUGGUGGCAUGCCCGGCAGAUCUGCAAGAAAAACAUCGAGAAAAUACCUCACAACUGGAACAGAAUCAAUGUUAGGAGUCUCAGCUCCCACAUCCCUCACAAAGGCUAAAUAUGAAAGAAAACCCUUCCCAACCAUACGCUGGGCCUUCAAGAAAGAUAUCACUCUACUAGGGACAUAAUCAGUCACACCACGACACUCGAUCCGCGGUACACCCGGCAUAGCCAAAGUGACUGUCUUAGCAUGAUAGUCUUGAAUAGCACGACACGGAGAUAACCAGUCCAUGCCCAAAAUCACAUCAAAAUCCACUAUGCUCAAUAGCAAUAGAUCCACUCGGGUCUCCAGACCGCCAAUAGUCACCACACCACACAUGACCGGUACACAUGGUCUACAACAAUAGUAUCAUCCACCUGGGUAGAUACAUGAACAGGUAAAACAAGAAACUCAUGGGGUGUACCCAUAUAACAAGCAAAGUAUGAUGACACAUAAGAAAAGGUGGAACCGGGAUAAAAUAACACAGAGACAUCUCAGUGGUAGACUGAAACAAUACAUGUAAUGACAGCGUCUGAAGCAAUGGCGUCUGGCCUGCCUGGAAGUACAUAGAAACGGCUCUGACCGCCUCCUGAUCGACCUCCCCCUAUGGGGCGACCCCUGAGGUGCCAGAUACUCUCUCUCUAGUUAGAAAAAUCCAUAGCUGAUAGUUGAGGCCAUCAACGAACCUCCUAAUCCUCGCCCUAUUUGUAGGAACUAGCCAAAUAGCAUGGCAGGCCAACUCGAAGAACCUCAUCUCACAUCACAGACAUGCCCUCUUGACGCAGAUGCUCGAACUCCCUGCGCAGCUCCUCCCUGCGGGAAUGCGAUACAUACUUCUCUAAGAAGAUAAUGGAGAACUAAUGCCAGGUAAGGGGCGGUGCACCAACAUGCCUACGCCUCUCAUAAGCUUCCCACCAAGUAAAGUCAUCUCGAGAAAACUGAAAAGUAGUAAAUGAGACCCCACUAGUCUCCAGAAUACCCGUUGUACGCAACAUCCUCUGAUACUUGUCCAAGAAACCCUGAGCAUCCUCACCCUCUACACCACUGAAAGUAGAAGGCUGGAGUCUACCAAACCUUUCCAAUCGACGCUGCUCAUUGUCAGGCAUAAUUGGAACCACGAAAUCAUGAGCAAGUGUAAUCGACUGAGAUAGUGGUGCCUCCAGUGUCUGGAGUCCAAGAAAACCUGCUCGGGUGUACGGGCGGCGGGAGUCUGAGUGCCUCCCUCGGCCUGAGAAGUAGCCGCUAUCGUUGAAACUGCGACUACAUGAGCAAGACAGGUGUACACAGUCAGAAUUUGAGCCAAAGUCUCCUAGAGACCCGGAAUAACAAUAGGCACAGUCGGUGCCUGAGCUGGUGCUGCUGGAGCAUCCCCCUCUGGAGCCUAAUUAUGAACUGGGGCGCCGGGUAGAUUUGUAAGUGUUACCCUAGCUGUUGUGCAGGCCACACCCUUACCCCUACCACGACCUCGACCGAGUCCUUGACCUCUAGCGGCCCCAAAUGGUGGUACUGGUAGUCGCCCAUCCUGACUGGUAGCACGUGUCCUCACCAUCUGUGAGAGAAUAGAAUAAUAGAAGUUUAGUUACCAGAGUCAAUAGAUUCGCACGACAAGAAUUAAAGAAUGUGAAGUUUUUCCUAAAUGUUCUACAACCUCCCGAGGAUAAGUACAGAUGUCUCUGUACCGAUCCGCGAGACUCGACUAAACCUGCUCAUGACCCAUGAGACCUACGUAACCUAGGCUCUGAUACCAACAGGUCACGACCCAAAAUCUAACCACAUCAUGAUGGCGACUAUCGUGAUACUAGGCCAUCCAAUUAUUACCCAUUCACUCCAUUUUCCAAUUUAAGACUUAAGAAAAAUCAUAUUUUUAAACAGAAAUCCAAUAAGAUAAAAAUAGAACUCAAAUCCAGCGGAAAGAAAUACAUGCUCGACCUCGGAUGUCACUAAGUCAUGUACAACAUACUACAACUGUUUGAAAUAUAUAAGACUACAUAGUCGAAAAAUGUCUAAAUAAAAGUACUAUAAGGAAGAUAAGGGAAGAGAAGGCGGAACUGCAGUCGCCCGAGCAGUUACCUCGCAAUCACCACAGAAAGUUCUCAACUGGCAAGGUCAACAACUGUUACCAUGCCCCGAGAUACCUGGAUCUGCAUACAGGGGUGCAGGGGGUAACGUGAGUACACCAACUCAGUAAGUAACAAGUCUAAACUAUGGACUGAUGGUAGUGACGAACCAAACCUCAAUAGGUAGUAACAUUUAACUGUACAAAAUAGUAUACAUGCUUACAAUUCAGGUAAAUUCUCAGCAGUGAUUAAACACAGUAUGAACAAUACAGAGUAUAAAACUCAGGAUACUAUAAGUACCAAUGCACAGAUAGCAUGAUCUAUGUCACAUAUACUACUUCCACUCACAGUGCUCAACCGCUCGGUACUGUAUAUGGCCCAUUCGGCCCAAAGAAAAUCCAUCCCAGAAUGUAUAUACAUUAUAGACUAUAAGUCAUCUUGUACCGAGGAAACAUGCAAAUCCAGCCUCAUGGAGAAAAUCCAUCUCCAUAUCAAUACUUCGGACAAGAUCCAUGUCUAGGGAAGAUCUAUCCCUCAAUAUUAUCAGUUGCACUCACUGGGGGUGUAAAGACUCUGGAGGGGCUUCUCUGAGCCCAAACGCUAUAUCAACACCAGCGAAGGCAUGAUCAAUAUCUCGCUACGACAUGCAGCCCGAUCCCAUACUGUCAAUCAAUUUCAGGCUCUCAGCCUCACUCAGCCAAUACUCACCAGUCUCACAUACAGGGGCAAAAUGUCGUGAUGCAAGCCCGAACAAUGAUAUGAUAUGUCAAAUAACAAUAAUCAAAACUGAGGCAUGAUAUAAUAUGCAUGAAUAGGACUGAGUAUAGAGUAUAAAUGAAGCUAAUGACAUGACAACAAGAAAUGACCUCUCGGGUCUCAACAGUAUUGGCGUGAAGCCCUAACAUGGUAAUUAGCAUGAUUUGUAGCCCAUUAACUUAAUCACAUAGAUACAACAAAGAUAUUAGCAAGAAAGAGUCACUAAGCGGUGCCAUGGAAUGAUCCAGGCCGCAUCUCUUCGGUGCGUGCUCACACGCCCGUCACUUGGCAUUGUGUCACCUCAAUAGCAAUCAUAGAACACAUAGUUAGGGGUUUCGAACUCUCAGAACCAUGUUUGGAAGUGUUACUUACCUCAAGCCAAGCCAAACUCUAGCCCAUGAUACCUUUUCCUCUCGAUUCGGUCUCCAAAUACCCCGAAUUUAACCAAAAUCAGUACAUAACCAUCAAAAUAUACUAAGGGAAUAAAGUCCACUCGAAAAUAAUCAAAUUACAUCAAAAUCCCGAAAUUGGUCAAAACCCGACCCCUGUGUCCAUGCCUCAGAUUCCAAUAAAAUCACAAAACUAGAAUCCUUACACUCUCACGAGUUUAUGCAUACCAAGAAUGCCAAAAUCCGACCACAAAUGACCCCUCAAAUCCCUUGAUAGAGUUCUCCAAUUUCCAAGCCCUAACUCCCUAAUUUUAGGUUUCAAAUCCCCCAAAUUUCAUGUUUAAUUAGUUAGAAUCACAAUAGGAUCGAGUAUUAAGUCCAUAAAUCUUACCUCCAAGAAGUUCUCUUGAAUUCCCUUUUCAAUCUCCAUCAAGAAGCUCCAAAACCGACCAAAAAAUGGCGAACUAUGGCCAAAACUCGCGAAAAUGGCCUUUUAAACAUUCUGCCCAGUGAUUAAAAGUCCUUCUUCGCGAACGCAGUCAAAGCCUCGCGUUCACGAAGCACAAAAUUGCAUUGACCAAAAAUCCUCUUACGCGAACGCGGAAUCACCCUCGCGAACGCAAUGCUUCAGCCGACCAAACCUUCACGAAUGCGGCUACACCCACGCAAACGCGAAGCACAAAGCUCCUGGAAUCCCAGCUACCCCAAAUACUCUAUGCGAACGCGGGAUACUCAUCGCGUUCGCGAUGAACACUGAAACCAACCCUUCGUGAAUGCGGGACCCACAUCGCGAACGCGAAGGCCAAUCAUCCUACCUUACAACUUAACCCUUUGUGAGUGAGAGAGCCCUCUCGCGAACGCGAAGGCCAAAUGUCUGCAACACCAACAGUAGAAAUCUACAACUUCUCCAACAUGAAUUUGAUUCGUUUAACCACCCAAAACUCACCCGAGGCCCUCGAGACCUCAACCAAAAUGCCAACAUAUCCCAUAUAAUCAUUCAAACUUGUUCCAACCCUUGGAACGCCAAAAACAACAUUAAAACACCAAAUCAUCAUCAGAUUCAAGCCUAAGAACUCCAAAAACUUCCAAAUUCCACUUUCGAUCAAAAGGUCUAUCAAACCUCGUCCGAAUGACCUAAAAUUUUGUACACACAUCACAAAUGACAUAACGGACCUACUCCAACUUCCGGAAUUCCAUUCCGACCCUUAUAGAAAAAUCUCACCUAUCAACUGGAAAAUGCCAAAAUUCCAAUUUUGCCAAUUCAAGCCUAAAUCUACUCCGGACCUCCAAAACACAUUCCGAUCACGCUCCUAAGUCCCGAAUCACCUCCCGAAGCUAUCUGAACCAUCAGAAUUCUUAUCCGAGCCCUUUUUCACAUAAGUCAAUAUUUGGUUGACUUUUCUCACCUAAGCUUAUUCAAAAGAGACUAAGUGUCUCAUUCCUUUCUAAAACCUCUCCGAACCCGAACCAUCCAACCCAAUAACACAUAAUACAGUUGAACAACACAAUAAGAAGCAGAAAUGGAGGGAACAGAGCGGUAACUCAUGAAACGGACAAGUGUAAAAUGAUAAAACAGACUCGCUUGAACUCUCGGAAUGCACCAAACAACAUUAAAACUAAGAAUCACACCCCAAACCAAUUGAAUCAAAAAUAUGAACUUUAAGUUCUUCAAUUUACUCUCAGUGUGCCAAAACAUACUUAAACUACUCGGAAUGACACCAAAUUUUGUGUGCAAGUCAUAAAUGACAUUACGGAACUAUUCCCAGUCUUGGAUUCGAACAUACGUCCAAGUCCGAAAUCAUCAUACGAACUUAUUGGAACAGUUAAAUCCUGAUUUCGAGGUUGUUUACUCAAAAUGUUGACCGAAUUCAAACUUAGCCUUUUAAGGCCAACUAAGGAACUAAGUAUUUCGAUUUUAACCCGAACCCUUCAAAAUCCCAAACUAACCGUCCUAGCAAGUCAUAAAACAAUAAAAGCAUGUACAAGAAGUCUUAUUUAGGGGAACGAGGUUCUAAAAAUUAGAAUGAUCGGUCGGGUCGUUACAUUCUCCACCUCUUAAAGAAACGUUCGUCCUCGAACGGGUUUAGAAUCAUACUUGGAGUGCUGAAUAAGUGUGGAUGUUUGCUCCGCAUGUCCUCCUCGGACUCCCAGGUCGCCUCCUCGAUUGGUUAGCCCCUUCACUGAACCUUUACCGCAAAAAUCCUCAUGGAUAUCAACUGGCGAACCUGCCUACCAUUAAUGGCAACUGGCUCAUCCUCAUAACCCAGGCUCUCAUCUAACUGAAUCUUGCUGAAGUCUAACACAUGUGACAAGUCGGCAUGAUACCUCCGGAGCAUAGUCACGUUAAAAAUUAGAUGAACUCCUGAUAGACUAGGAGGUAAGGCAAGCUCAUAAGCAACCUUCCCAACUCAUCUCAACACCUCAAAUGGACCUAUAAACCUUGGGCUCAACUUGAACUUCUUCCUGAAUCUCAUAAUCCCCUUCAUCGGCGAGACUUUCAAGAGAACCUUCUCGCCUACCAUAAAUGAUAAAUCAUGCGCAUGAUGAUCUGCGUAACUCUUCUAUAUGGACUAUUCUAUGCGAAGUCGCUCUUAAAUCAAAUUUACCUUUUCCAAGGCAUCCUUCACCAAAUCAGUACCAUAUUACUUAGCCUCGUCGGGCUCAAACCACUCGAUGGGAGAACGAGAUCACCGACCAUAUAAAGCCUCAAAUGGAGCCAUCCGAUGUUGGACUGAUAACUAUUAUUGUAAGCAAACUCAGCCAAAAGUAAGAAUUCAUCCCAAUUCCCUCCAAAGUAAAUCACAUGUGCUAUGAGCAUGCCCUCCUAAAUCUGAACUGUCUGCUCCGACUGCCCAUCAGUCUGUUAAUGAAAUGCGGUGUUGAGAUCUACAUGGGUCCCCAACUCACUCUAUACGGCUCUCCAGAAAUACGAAGUAAACUGAGGGCCUCUAUCUGAUAUGAUGGAAAUAGGCACACCGUGCAACCGAACUAUUUCCUGAAUAUAAAUCUGGGCCAACCUCUCCGAAGUAUACGUAGUCACAACUGGAAUGAAGUGUGCCGACUUGGUCAACUUGUCGAUAAUGACCCAAAUUGCAUCAAACUUCCGCAAGGUCCGCAGUAACCCAAUACGAAGUCCAUAGUAAUGCGCUCCCAUUUCCACUCCAAUAUAAUCAUCUGCUGGGGUAGGCCACCUGGCCUUUGGUGCUCAUACUUGACCUACUGGCAAUUUAGGUACUUAGCAACAUACUCAGAUAUGUCUUUCUUCAUCUGCCAUAACCAAUAAUACUGUCUCAAGUUAUGAUACAUCUUUGUGGCACCUGGACGAUUGGAAUACCGAGAACUAUGUGCCUCCUCUACAAUCCUCUACCUCAAGCCAUCGACAUUAGGAACACAUAGACGACCCAAGAGUCGUAGAACACAAACCUUGCCGAUAGAAACCCCAUUGGCACCACCUUAUAGUAUCGUUUCUCUAAGAACCAUCAAAUGUCGAUCUUCAAAGUAUCAAGCCUUAAUCUAUUCCAAUAGUGAAAACUGGGAAACAACGCAUGCAAGAACUCGGCUGGGCUCUGAAAUGUCCAACCUUACAAGUCUGUUAGUCAAGGACUGAAUGUCCAAAGCUAGUGGCCUCUCCUCUGCUGAAAUGAAUACCAAGCUACCAAUACUCUCUACCUUUCUGCUCAAAGCAUUCACGACCACAUUUUUCUUGCCCGGAUGAUAAAGAAUGGUGAUGUCAUAAUCAUUCAGUAACUCAAUGCAUCUGCGCUACCUCAAAUUGGGAUCCCUUUGCUUGAACAAAUGCUGCAAGCUACGAUGAUCGGUGUCAACCUCAUAGGACACCCUAUAAAGAUAAUGCCUCCAGCUCUUAAGAGCAUGAACAAUAGUGGCUAACUCUAGAUUGUGCACAAGGUAAUUCUUCUCAUGAAUCAUCAGCUGACGUGAAGCAUAUGCAAUAAUACGCCCCUCUUAUAUCAGUACACAACUCAAGCCAAUGUGUGAAACGUUGCAAUACACCAUAUACAUCCCCGAACUGGAAGGCAACAGUAGAACCGAUAUUUUAGUCAAAAUUGCCUUGAGCUUCUGAAAUCUCGCCUCACAAUCAUUGGACCAACGGAACAGAGCACCCUUCUGGGCCAAUCUAGUCAAAGGUGCUGCAAUAGAUGAAAAACAUGUACCCAAGGACUCAUGAGGGAUAUCCAGAAAAUGAGAAAAUAGAGAUGAUACAUAUAAAUAGGUAGACCUUGGAUCAAAUAAUAUCAAAGCAUCCCUACUGCAGAUAGAAAUAAUACCUUUGAUCAUGACAUCUGAGGCCACUGUAUCUAGUCUGGCAGAAAACGCAUAGAACCUAGCUGGAGCACCAACUGGCUAGCCUCCGCCUAACUAAAUAGUAGCUGGCUGACCCCUCUGCUUGGCCUCCACCUCUAGGACGACCCCUACCCACCUGCCUUACACCUUUGGGUGGUCGGACGACAGGUGUUGUAAUCAUGAGUUGAUGACCCUGCUGCACUGCCUUGCCCUAAAGUUUGGGACAAAAUCUCUUCAUGUAACCUAGAUACCCACACUCGUAACAACCUCUUGGCACCAUAAACUGCUACCCUGAAGUCUAACCCCGAUCACCUGAAAUCCACUAAAAGAACACUGGAUAGCUGGUGAGUGGUAUGAACUCUUUGACAUGGCACUGAAAUAGGCGCUGGAAGAACUCGGGUGACCUGAGUACCCACUGGAAGAACCCUGAAUAACUGGUGGGCAGUAUGAACUCUCUAGCAUGACACUGAAAUAGGGUCGCGCUGGAGCACCCUGAGGAGGUGGUGGUACUAGAUAUGUGGACUUGCUAGGCUGACCCCUCCUAAACUGACCUCUACCCCCAGCCGAGGCAUCUCUAAACUCUCCAAAAAAAUGGGACCUCUUGUCCCGCUGCAUCUGCUCUCUACCCCUUUGAUGGUAGCCCUCAAUCCUCUGAGCAAUCUCCACUACUAGCUGAUAAAAAGUCCCAAUCUCAACCUCCUGGGCCAUACUAUCCUGAAUAGCGGAGUGCAACCCCGCACCAAACCUCUGCACUCUCUCUGUGUCAGUAGGAAGUAUCAUGAGUGCAUGGCGAGGAAACUCAGAGAAUCUCGCCUAAUAAUCGGUCACUGUCAUUUGACCCUGUUGGAGCAGCUCAAACUGACACCGCAAAUCUUCCCUAUGAGAGGGUGGGGUAUACAUAUCCAAGAAAAGUUGUGUAAACUGAUCCAACGUCAUGGGAGGAGAAUCUGUUGGUCUGCUAAGAAGAUGAGACUUCUGUGAGCACCUAAUAUUUGCGCUACAUGGAAAUGACCAAGCUGGAGCUGCUCAAACUGACACCGCAACUCUUCCUUCUGGAAGGGUGGGAUAUACAUAUCCAAAAAUAGCUGUGUAAACUGAUCCAAAGUCAUGGGAGGGGAAUCUGCUCGUCGGCCAAAAAGAUGAGACUUCUGUGAGCACCUAAUAUUUACGCUACAUGAUAAUUAAUCCUAAAAAAUUUAAAAAAAAUUAUAAAUAUUUCAAAAUAGUUUUAAUCAAUUUUGUAGAAUUUUAAGAAAUUUUCUCAAGUUUAGUUAAAUUAUUUUGCAUUUCAUUUUUAUGCAUAAGCACUUUAAAUCAUGAAAAUGCCAAAAAUAUUUUAUUCAUGCAUUAAAUUUUAUAUUUUAAUUGCAUGUUAGUUCUAUUUAUAAAUAUAAAAUACCAAAAAUACAUUUGUCAUUGUUAGUUUAAAUUAUUAGAUAAAAAUAGCAUAGGUUACUUCUGCAAAAAUAGGAUUAAUUUGAAUUAAUGGCUAAGUGGCUACAAUUUGAAAACAAUUGAUCAAAAGCUGAAAAAGAUCAAAUUGGGCCAAUUCUAUUAGCCCAAAGCUACAAAAAGAAUUUUGGCAGCCCAAUUACCCAUCUGCCCCAAGCCUGGCCCAAUAACCCAACCCCUCUCAUUAAAACCUCCCCCUUCCAAAAAAAAAGACCUAGACCUAAUUUCAUUCCCUUACCCUAGAGACCUAAUAAGAUAAAAAAAAGGAGGACCUUAAAGCUUUAGGAAAAUUGCGCAUCAACUGCUGCCUUUCUUCUUCUGCUAAACACACUCCAUUAUAACUAAAACUUCAACUCCAAAAGCCAUGAAAAUCAACCACGAAAUCCACAAAAAAUCAGCUCCAAUUCACCCCAAAUCAUCUCCGAAUAGCCUAGAAAAUGCAGCUGAAGUAGCUGCAAAAAUAGUCCAUAAACCAGCCAUGUUUCCACAUCAAAAUACCCUGCAAAAAUCAGUUCAAAACAUAAGCUAAAAAUCCACAAAAUGUGUUCAAAAUCACCUCCAAAAUAACUCCAAAACGAGCUGAAAAAUACUCCAUGAAAUAGCUUCAAAAAUGACCAUUGAAACCCAGCUUCCCACCUCAAAAAGAUCACCUAAAAAAUAAUUAAAUUUUCGAGUCAAAGUCAAGGGUCUUGGUACAAAUAAAGUCGAGGUCAACGUCGAGCUUUUCGAGUCAUGGUUUUGUUCGCUCUUGUUCGCAUUUUCGAUGUUUGUCACAGAGUUCUGUUUGCUAUUUGAACAACUUUUAUUAUUGUACCAAACUUUGGUUUGAAGGCCCUUUAUAUAUACGCAUUAAAGUUUUCACAUAGGUUCUUUCUUUUCCAAUCUCAUUUUAUGGUUGAUUUGCUUUGAAUUGUUAUUUAUACUAUUUGAGCAUUUGGAUGCCUUCACAUUAGUUGAUUCUAUGUUUAUUAGUUACUUUCUUUUGUUAAAUAAUUUUAUUUGAGG